ensembl:snRNA U6 U6 spliceosomal RNA
GUGAUUGCUUUGGCAGCACAUAUAUUAAAAUUAGAAUGAUACAGAGAAGAUUGGCAUGGCCCCUGCACAAGGAUGACAUGCAAAUUCGUGAAGCAUUUCAUAUUUUU